GGGUUGUGAGGUUAAGCGACUAAGCGUACACGGUGGAUGCCCUGGCAGUCAGAGGCGAUGAAGGACGUGCUAAUCUGCGAUAAGCGUCGGUAAGGUGAUAUGAACCGUUAUAACCGGCGAUUUCCGAAUGGGGAAACCCAGUGUGUUUCGACACACUAUCAUUAACUGAAUCCAUAGGUUAAUGAGGCGAACCGGGGGAACUGAAACAUCUAAGUACCCCGAGGAAAAGAAAUCAACCGAGAUUCCCCCAGUAGCGGCGAGCGAACGGGGAGCAGCCCAGAGCCUGAAUCAGUGUGUGUGUUAGUGGAAGCGUCUGGAAAGGCGCGCGAUACAGGGUGACAGCCCCGUACACAAAAAUGCACAUGCUGUGAGCUCGAUGAGUAGGGCGGGACACGUGGUAUCCUGUCUGAAUAUGGGGGGACCAUCCUCCAAGGCUAAAUACUCCUGACUGACCGAUAGUGAACCAGUACCGUGAGGGAAAGGCGAAAAGAACCCCGGCGAGGGGAGUGAAAAAGAACCUGAAACCGUGUACGUACAAGCAGUGGGAGCACGCUUAGGCGUGUGACUGCGUACCUUUUGUAUAAUGGGUCAGCGACUUAUAUUCUGUAGCAAGGUUAACCGAAUAGGGGAGCCGAAGGGAAACCGAGUCUUAACUGGGCGUUAAGUUGCAGGGUAUAGACCCGAAACCCGGUGAUCUAGCCAUGGGCAGGUUGAAGGUUGGGUAACACUAACUGGAGGACCGAACCGACUAAUGUUGAAAAAUUAGCGGAUGACUUGUGGCUGGGGGUGAAAGGCCAAUCAAACCGGGAGAUAGCUGGUUCUCCCCGAAAGCUAUUUAGGUAGCGCCUCGUGAAUUCAUCUCCGGGGGUAGAGCACUGUUUCGGCAAGGGGGUCAUCCCGACUUACCAACCCGAUGCAAACUGCGAAUACCGGAGAAUGUUAUCACGGGAGACACACGGCGGGUGCUAACGUCCGUCGUGAAGAGGGAAACAACCCAGACCGCCAGCUAAGGUCCCAAAGUCAUGGUUAAGUGGGAAACGAUGUGGGAAGGCCCAGACAGCCAGGAUGUUGGCUUAGAAGCAGCCAUCAUUUAAAGAAAGCGUAAUAGCUCACUGGUCGAGUCGGCCUGCGCGGAAGAUGUAACGGGGCUAAACCANNNNNNNNNNNNNNNNNNNNNNNNNNNNNNNNNNNNNNNNNNNNNNNNNNNNNNNNNNNNNNNNNNNNNNNNNNNNNNNNNNNNNNNUAAGCCUGCGAAGGUGUGCUGUGAGGCAUGCUGGAGGUAUCAGAAGUGCGAAUGCUGACAUAAGUAACGAUAAAGCGGGUGAAAAGCCCGCUCGCCGGAAGACCAAGGGUUCCUGUCCAACGUUAAUCGGGGCAGGGUGAGUCGACCCCUAAGGCGAGGCCGAAAGGCGUAGUCGAUGGGAAACAGGUUAAUAUUCCUGUACUUGGUGUUACUGCGAAGGGGGGACGGAGAAGGCUAUGUUGGCCGGGCGACGGUUGUCCCGGUUUAAGCGUGUAGGCUGGUUUUCCAGGCAAAUCCGGAAAAUCAAGGCUGAGGCGUGAUGACGAGGCACUACGGUGCUGAAGCAACAAAUGCCCUGCUUCCAGGAAAAGCCUCUAAGCAUCAGGUAACAUCAAAUCGUACCCCAAACCGACACAGGUGGUCAGGUAGAGAAUACCAAGGCGCUUGAGAGAACUCGGGUGAAGGAACUAGGCAAAAUGGUGCCGUAACUUCGGGAGAAGGCACGCUGAUAUGUAGGUGAAGUCCCUUGCGGAUGGAGCUGAAAUCAGUCGAAGAUACCAGCUGGCUGCAACUGUUUAUUAAAAACACAGCACUGUGCAAACACGAAAGUGGACGUAUACGGUGUGACGCCUGCCCGGUGCCGGAAGGUUAAUUGAUGGGGUCAGCGCAAGCGAAGCUCUUGAUCGAAGCCCCGGUAAACGGCGGCCGUAACUAUAACGGUCCUAAGGUAGCGAAAUUCCUUGUCGGGUAAGUUCCGACCUGCACGAAUGGCGUAAUGAUGGCCAGGCUGUCUCCACCCGAGACUCAGUGAAAUUGAACUCGCUGUGAAGAUGCAGUGUACCCGCGGCAAGACGGAAAGACCCCGUGAACCUUUACUAUAGCUUGACACUGAACAUUGAGCCUUGAUGUGUAGGAUAGGUGGGAGGCUUGGAAGUGUGGACGCCAGUCUGCAUGGAGCCGACCUUGAAAUACCACCCUUUAAUGUUUGAUGUUCUAACGUUGACCCGUAAUCCGGGUUGCGGACAGUGUCUGGUGGGUAGUUUGACUGGGGCGGUCUCCUCCUAAAGAGUAACGGAGGAGCACGAAGGUUGGCUAAUCCUGGUCGGACAUCAGGAGGUUAGUGCAAUGGCAUAAGCCAGCUUGACUGCGAGCGUGACGGCGCGAGCAGGUGCGAAAGCAGGUCAUAGUGAUCCGGUGGUUCUGAAUGGAAGGGCCAUCGCUCAACGGAUAAAAGGUACUCCGGGGAUAACAGGCUGAUACCGCCCAAGAGUUCAUAUCGACGGCGGUGUUUGGCACCUCGAUGUCGGCUCAUCACAUCCUGGGGCUGAAGUAGGUCCCAAGGGUAUGGCUGUUCGCCAUUUAAAGUGGUACGCGAGCUGGGUUUAGAACGUCGUGAGACAGUUCGGUCCCUAUCUGCCGUGGGCGCUGGAGAACUGAGGGGGGCUGCUCCUAGUACGAGAGGACCGGAGUGGACGCAUCACUGGUGUUCGGGUUGUCAUGCCAAUGGCACUGCCCGGUAGCUAAAUGCGGAAGAGAUAAGUGCUGAAAGCAUCUAAGCACGAAACUUGCCCCGAGAUGAGUUCUCCCUGACCCUUUAAGGGUCCUGAAGGAACGUUGAAGACGACGACGUUGAUAGGCCGGGUGUGUAAGCGCAGCGAUGCGUUGAGCUAACCGGUACUAAUGAACCGUGAGGCUUAACCUUACAACGCCGAAG
rnacentral:rRNA from 1 species